UGUAGCUGCAUGUUCCUCCUGUCUCCCUCUUCUUCUCUCUCUCUCUCUCUCCUUCAUCCUCUCUGUCCUGUCUCCCUCUUCUUCUCUCUCUCUCCUUCAUCCUCUCUGUCCUGUCUCCCUCUUCUUCUCUCUCUCCUUCAUCCUCUCUGUCCUGUCUCCCUCUUCUUCUCUCUCUCUCUCUCCUUCAUCCUCUCUGUCCUGUCUCCCUCUUCUUCUCUCUCUCUCCUUCAUCCUCUCUGUCCUGUCUCCCUCUUCUUCUCCUCUCUCUCUCUCCUUCAUCCUCUCUGUCCUGUCUCCCUCUUCUCCUCUCUCUCUCUCCUUCAUCCUCUCUGUCCUGUCUCCCUCUUCUCCUCCUCUCUCUCUCUCCUUCAUCCUCUCUGUCCUGUCUCUCUCCUUCAUCCUCUCUGUCCUGUCUCCCUCUUCUCCUCUCUCUCUCUCCUUCAUCCUCUCUGUCCUGUCUCCCUCUUCUUCUCCUCUCUCUCUCUCCUUCAUCCUCUCUGUCCUGUCUCUCUCCUUCAUCCUCUGUCCUGUCUCCCUCUUCUCCUCUCUCUCUCUCCUUCAUCCUCUCUGUCCUGUCUCACUCUUCUUCUCCUCUCUCUCUCUCCUUCAUCCUCUCUGUCCUGUCUCCCUCUUCUCCUCUCUCUCUCCUUCAUCCUCUCUGUCCUGUCUCACUCUUCUUCUCCUCUCUCUCUCUCCUUCAUCCUCUCUGUCCUGUCUCCCUCUUCUCCUCUCUCUCUCCUUCAUCCUCUCUGUCCUGUCUCCCUCUUCUUCUCCUCUCUCUCUCUCCUUCAUCCUCUCUGUCCUGUCUCCCUCUUCUCCUCUCUCUCUCUCCUUCAUCCUCUCUGUCCUGUCUCACUCUUCUUCUCCUCUCUCUCUCUCCUUCAUCCUCUCUGUCCUGUCUCCCUCUUCUUCUCCUCUCUCUCUCUCCUUCAUCCUCUCUGUCCUGUCUCCCUCUUCUUCUCCUCUCUCUCUCUCCUUCAUCCUCUCUGUCCUGUCUCCCUCUUCUUCUCCUCUCUCUCUCUCCUUCAUCCUCUCUGUCCUGUCUCCCUCUUCUUCUUCUCUCUCUCUCUCCUUCAUCCUCUCUGUCCUGUCUCCCUCUUCUUCUCCUUUACUCCAGCUGGCAGCAGGAGGGUCCCUUGUUGUGAGCCAGGUCCUGCUCAAGGUUUCUUCCUGGAGGAGCUAUUUCCUGCC
rnacentral:lncRNA from 1 species